UACGGGGGGGGCAAGCGUUGUUCGGAAUUACUGGGCUUAAAGAGUUCGUAGGCGGCAUUGCAAGUAGGGUGUGAAAGCCCUCGGCUCAACCGAGGAAUUGCGCUCUAAACUGCAGUGCUUGAGGAACCUAGAGGUGAGCAGAACAGAUGGUGGAGCGGUGAAAUGCGUUGAUAUCAUCUGGAAUACCGGAGGCGAAGGCGGCUCACUGGGAGUUUUCUGACGCUGAGGAACGAAAGCCAGGGUAGCGAACGGG
rnacentral:rRNA from 1 species